AUGCCGAACAUGAUGGUGACCAGAUCAUCCGCGGAGGACCCUCAUGUCGCUGCCGGAGAGCAGCAGCAGCCGCAGCGGCAAGCGGCGGACAAGGUACCUCGCACCACUGAGGAGGAGCCAGCGGAUUUUACCAAUCUUUCACGGUACCAGACGAUCAACCCGGAAUCCGUUCCAGUCCCCAAUGGCAGCGGCAGUGGUAGCGCCGCCACCAUGAAGCCAGCAGAACCCGCGCCGUCACCCGCACCAAGCAUGGACGAGCACGACGGCACCCCGGCCGUGGACGCCGACAGCUCGAGCCUUGCGUCCUACCUCGCCCGCGCCUCGCUCGAGCAGCGCCGGCCAGGAGGGCGUCCGACGUCCUCAUCCGCUGCCAUCGUGAGCGACCACCAGCUGCACAACGCCGUCGUGCACUCCUCACAGGGACUUAACAUCGGCGGGGAGCUCUACAACUUGGCCGCCCAAGCCUCCGAGGCAUCCAACAGCCUAGGCGGGGCGGUCUACACCUUCGCCGCCCAAGCAUCCCAAGCACACAACAACCUCGACAACGGGCUCCACAACCUCGCCGCCCAGGCCUCCCAGGCAUACAACUGCCUCGAUGACGGGCUCAACAAACUCGCCGCCCAGGCUACCCAGGGAGCAGACCUCGGCGGCGGCGGGUUCUGCAACAUCGCCGCCCAGGGAAUCGACCUCGGCGGCAGCGGCAACAGCAGCGACAUCAUCAUCGCCGCUCCGGAAGGCACCGCACCGCUCAAGUAG
rnacentral:rRNA from 1 species